CCUACGGGAGGCAGCAGUCGAGAAUCAUUCACAAUGGGGGAAACCCUGAUGGUGCGACGCCGCGUGGGGGAAUGAAGGUCUUCGGAUUGUAAACCCCUGUCAUGUGGGAGCAAAUUAAAAAGAUAGUACCACAAGAGGAAGAGACGGCUAACUCUGUGCCAGCAGCCGCGGUAAUACAGAGGUCUCAAGCGUUGUUCGGAAUCACUGGGCGUAAAGCGUGCGUAGGCUGUUUCGUAAGUCGUGUGUGAAAGGCGAGGGCUCAACCCGCGGACGGCACAUGAUACUGCGAGACUAGAGUAAUGGAGGGGGAACCGGAAUUCUCGGUGUAGCAGUGAAAUGCGUAGAUAUCGAGAGGAACACUCGUGGCGAAGGCGGGUUCCUGGACAUUAACUGACGCUGAGGCACGAAGGCCAGGGGAGCGAAAGGGAUUAGAUACCCCAGUAGUC
rnacentral:rRNA from 1 species